rnacentral:misc_RNA from 1 species
AUUUGAACUUCAGCCCCUCUCGGAAGCAUUCUUGAGGGAGAACAUUGUUCUGCGUGGUCUAGCACAUCCAUCACUCUUUAAUGGGACGAUAGAAAAUUCAUCUAGUGAAUUUUCUCAACUAGAUUGGUAUAAAGUGUUGGGCGCAGUACCUGUUACAGCAAAUAAUAUUUUCAAAUUGCUCUCAAAAAAUUCGCAUGUGCUUCUUUAUCCUGGAGGU